rnacentral:rRNA from 1 species
CCCUUAGAUGUUCUGGGCUGCACGCGCGCUACACUGACGCACGCAACAGGUGCCUGCUCCGAGAGGACUGGGUAAUCAUUUGAGUGUGCGUCGUGAUGGGGAUAGAAUAUUGUAAUUAUUACUCUUCAACGAGGAAUUCCUAGUAAGCGCCAGUCAGCAGCUUGCGCUGAUUACGUCCCUGCCCUUUGUACACACCGCCCGUCGCUCCUACCGAUGGGUGAUCCGGUGAAUGAUUCGGACUUCAGCGGCGCCCCUGGGGUGCGCCGGAGAAAGUUUUGUGAACCUUAUCACUUGGAGGAAGGAGAAGUCGUAACA